CCGAGUACCGGGUCUUCCAGGCCCUUACUCCCACCCUUUGUGAACCUACUAUUUUUCGUUGCCUUGGCGGGGUUGAUCCCUGGGCCUCGCGGCCCUGGGGGGACCUGCCAGGGGGACACCAUCGAAACUCUUGUCAACGGUGUAGUCUGAGAUAUAAAUUAAACAAGUUA
rnacentral:misc_RNA from 1 species